AGAGUGGGAGCCUCCUUACAUGCCUUGCAGAGCAUUCCUGAAAGGCUAGUGGGUGAACAUGCUCACAGAAGCAGAGGGCUGGAGUUAACAGGACAUUCCUAAAAGGGGUGGAGCCAGUAGUACAUUCGGGAGAAGGCUGGAGCUAACAGAGCAUUCCUGAGAGGUCUCACAGUGCAGGCAGUUACAAAACAUUUUCAUACAUUGGGCAGGGGAGCUGCUGGGCAGCACAAGCUGUUACACUUCUGGAACAAAAGAUCUUGUGGAAAGGACAUGGGGGCAAGAGACAAAGUCUGAAAAGUUCUGUGUCUGAACUACUGAUACUCAUCCAGCAAGUGCAUCAUUGAGAUAAACUUUACUAUGGCCAAAAAUGAACAUCUCUGCUAUCAGCUCUGAGAUCUAAUUCCAGACAUCUGCUUAACAGAACACAAAGAAGGUCAUGGAGACAGGACUCAUAGGGGAGAGGAUCCUUAACAGAGACAGGGCUCACAAACAAGCCCAUCUGCAAGCAAGUGAACACCCUCAACUUCCUCUCCAUCUUAUUUUCUUCAUCACUUCUCUACAAAGUGUAAGCCAAAAGAAAGCUCUCCCCUUUUUGUUGGAGGUGUCAGGUAUUGUAUCCCAGUGACCAGAAAAUAACUGAUACAGUGUUGUGAGCUGCAAUCACUUGGUUCAGCUAAUCACAGCCAGACCUCUUCUUUGUCAACAGGUAUUUUGGUCAUUGCAAAUAUUAAUGACCUAUUGUGAGACAAGUAUCAACAAAAGAAGUCAUAUUCCUUGACAAUUCAAUGUAAUAGUUGAGUAGCUAUUGAUGCUCUUUGCCUAAAUUCUUUUAUUUCAUUGAGAUUCAUACAUUAUUUUCAUUUUGAAAUAUUCAUUUUAUUUUUUCUACUUGAUAUUUUAAUGCAAAACUUUUAUGCAUUAAAUAAAUAUAGAUUAUAAUUUUUUUCUUGUGAGAUAGUGGAGACUUAUUGCUUUGCCUUUAUUUAUGAGUAUUUUGAGAACUGUUAUCAUAAUAACUACCAUUAUCAGGGCAAAUAUUUGAGCAUGCUCUCUCUCUCUCUCUCUCUCUCUCUCUCUCUGGCUCUUUGUGUUUGUAUCUGUUGUAAUGUAGUUAUAUUUUAAUUUACAUUAUGUAUCAAAAUUGAUCCUCUACAUUAUUGCUUUUGAUAUAGACAUCUACUCAAAUCUCACUCGUGAGAUAGCUAUCAAUAUGAGUCUUUUGUCCUUCAGACUCAACCUCUUGAGUCUUUGACCAAAUGAUUG